rnacentral:snRNA from 1 species
GUGCUUGCUUUGGUAGCAUAUAUACCUGAAUUGGAAAAAUACAGAGAAGAUAAACAUGUUGUCUGAGCAAGGAUGACAUGCAAAUUCAUCAAACAUUCAAUAUUUUU